rnacentral:rRNA from 1 species
CUAGCUACAGGCUUAACACAUGCAAGUCGAGGGGCAUCGGGUAGAAAGCUUGCUUUCUUUGCCGGCGACCGGCGCACGGGUGAGUAACACGUAUCCAACCUGCCCUUUACUCGGGGAUAGCCUUUCGAAAGAAAGAUUAAUACCCGAUAGCAUAAUGAUUCCGCAUGGUUUCAUUAUUAAAGGAUUCCGGUAAAGGAUGGGGAUGCGUUCCAUUAGGUUGUUGGUGAGGUAACGGCCCACCAAGCCUUCGAUGGAUAGGGGUUCUGAGAGGAAGGUCCCCCACAUUGGAACUGAGACACGGUCCAAACUCCUACGGGAGGCAGCAGUGAGGAAUAUUGGUCAAUGGGCGCUAGCCUGAACCAGCCAAGUAGCGUGAAGGAUGAAGGCUCUAUGGGUCGUAAACUUCUUUUAUAUAAGAAUAAAGUGCAGUAUGUAUACUGUUUUGUAUGUAUUAUAUGAAUAAGGAUCGGCUAACUCCGUGCCAGCAGCCGCGGUAAUACGGAGGAUCCGAGCGUUAUCCGGAUUUAUUGGGUUUAAAGGGAGCGUAGGUGGACUGGUAAGUCAGUUGUGAAAGUUUGCGGCUCAACCGUAAAAUUGCAGUUGAUACUGUCAGUCUUGAGUACAGUAGAGGUGGGCGGAAUUCGUGGUGUAGCGGUGAAAUGCUUAGAUAUCACGAAGAACUCCGAUUGCGAAGGCAGCUCACUGGACUGCAACUGACACUGAUGCUCGAAAGUGUGGGUAUCAAACAGGAUUAGAUACCCUGGUAGUCCACACAGUAAACGAUGAAUACUCGCUGUUUGCGAUAUACAGUAAGCGGCCAAGCGAAAGCAUUAAGUAUUCCACCUGGGGAGUACGCCGGCAACGGUGAAACUCAAAGGAAUUGACGGGGGCCCGCACAAGCGGAGGAACAUGUGGUUUAAUUCGAUGAUACGCGAGGAACCUUACCCGGGCUUAAAUUGCAGUGGAAUGAUGUGGAAACAUGUCAGUGAGCAAUCACCGCUGUGAAGGUGCUGCAUGGUUGUCGUCAGCUCGUGCCGUGAGGUGUCGGCUUAAGUGCCAUAACGAGCGCAACCCUUAUCUUCAGUUACUAACAGGUCAUGCUGAGGACUCUGGAGAGACUGCCGUCGUAAGAUGUGAGGAAGGUGGGGAUGACGUCAAAUCAGCACGGCCCUUACGUCCGGGGCUACACACGUGUUACAAUGGGGGGUACAGAAGGCAGCUAGCGGGUGACCGUAUGCUAAUCCCAAAAUCCUCUCUCAGUUCGGAUCGAAGUCUGCAACCCGACUUCGUGAAGCUGGAUUCGCUAGUAAUCGCGCAUCAGCCACGGCGCGGUGAAUACGUUCCCGGGCCUUGUACACACCGCCCGUCAAGCCAUGGGAGCCGGGGGUACCUGAAGUACGUAACCGCAAGGAUCGUCCUAGGGUAAAACUGGUGACUG